rnacentral:rRNA from 1 species
GCGUGCAGGAUGAAGGCCUUCGGGUUGUAAACUGCUUUUGUACGGAACGAAAAGGCUUUCUCGAAUAAAGGGAGCUCAUGACGGUACCGUAAGAAUAAGCACCGGCUAACUACGUGCCAGCAGCCGCGGUAAUACGUAGGGUGCAAGCGUUAAUCGGAAUUACUGGGCGUAAAGCGUGCGCAGGCGGUGAUGUAAGACAGUUGUGAAAUCCCCGGGCUCAACCUGGGAACUGCAUCUGUGACUGCAUUGCUGGAGUGCGGCAGAGGGGGAUGGAAUUCCGCGUGUAGCAGUGAAAUGCGU